UUAGAGUUUGAUCCUGGCUCAGGAUGAACGCUAGCGGCAGGCCUAAUACAUGCAGGCCGGACGGCAAGGUCUGUAGCAAUACAGGCCCUAGAGUGGCGCAAGGGUGCGUAACACGUAUGCAACCUGCCCACGGCCCGGGGAUAGCCCCCCGAAAGGGGGAUUAACACCCGAUAGAUACCAAUGGUGGCAUCACUGAUGGUUUAAGCUACGGGGCCGUGGAUGGGCAUGCGUCCGAUUAGCUAGUUGGUGGGGUAACGGCCCACCAAGGCGAUGAUCGGUAGGGGUUCUGAGAGGAAGGUCCCCCACACUGGCACUGAGACACGGGCCAGACUCCUACGGGAGGCAGCAGUAGGGAAUAUUGGACAAUGGGCGAGAGCCUGAUCCAGCCAUGCCGCGUGCAGGAAGAAGGCCUUCUGGGUCGUAAACUGCUUUUGCCGGGGGAUAAAACACCCCUGCCGGGGAAAUUGAAGGUACCCGGUGAAUAAGCCACGGCUAACUACGUGCCAGCAGCCGCGGUAAUACGUAGGUGGCGAGCGUUGUCCGGAUUUAUUGGGUUUCAAGGGUGCGUAGGCGGCCCGGAUAGUCACCGGUGAAAUACGGCAGCCCAACUGUCGAGGUGCCGUUGAUACUGCCGGGCUUGAGUGCGUUCGAGGGGGGCGGAAUUGACGGUGUAGCGGUGAAAUGCUUAGAUAUCGUCAAGAACACCGAUAGCGGAGGCAGCCCCCCAGGCCGCCACUGACGCUGAGGCACGAAAGUGCGGGGAUCAAACAGGAUUAGAUACCCUGGUAGUCCGCACCGUAAACGAUGGUCACUCGGUGCCGGCGAUAUACAGCCGGUGCCUUAGCGAAAGCGAUAAGUGACCCACCUGGGGAGUACGCCGGCAACGGUGAAACUCAAAGGAAUUGACGGGGGUCCGCACAAGCGGUGGAGCAUGUGGUUUAAUUCGAUGGUACGCGAGGAACCUUACCCGGGCUAGAAUGCCCCUGACAGACGCAGAGACGCAUUUUCCCGCAAGGGCAGGGAGCAAGGUGCUGCAUGGCUGUCGUCAGCCCGUGCCGUGAGGUGUUGGGUUAAGUCCCGCAACGAGCGCAACCCUUGUCUUCAGUUACCAAUAUCAAGUUAGGGACUCUGGAGAGACUGCCGGUGAUAAACCGGAGGAAGGUGGGGAUGACUUCAAGUCCUCAUGGCCCUUACGGGCUGGGCUACACACGUACUACAAUGGCGAAUACAAAGGGAAGCAAGCGUGCGAACGCAAGCGGAUCCUAUAAAAUUCGUCUCAGUUCAGAUUGCACUCUGCAACUCGAGUGCAUGAAGUUGGAAUCGCUAGUAAUCGCGAAUCAGCAGGUCGCGGUGAAUACGUUCCCGGGCCUUGUACACACCGCCCGUCACACCAUGGGAGUUGGUUCUACCCGAAGGCGCUGUGCUGACCGCAAGGAGGCAGGUGACCACGGUAGGAUCAGUGACUGGGGUGAAGUCGUAACAAGGUAGCCGUA
rnacentral:rRNA from 1 species